AAUAUUGCACAAUGGGCGCAAGCCUGAUGCAGCAACGCCGCGUGCGCGACGAAGGCCUUCGGGUCGUAAAGCGCUUUUCGGGGAGAUGAGCACGGACAGGAUCCCCGGCAGAAGGAUCGGCUAACUACGUGCCAGCUGCCGCGGUAGUACGAAGGGGGCUAGCGUUGUUCGGAAUUACUGGGCGUAAAGGGCGCGUAGGCGGACUGUUAAGUCAGGGGUGAAAUCCCGGGGCUCAACCCCGGAACUGCCUUUGAUACUGGUGGUCUUGAGUUCGGGAGAGGUGAGUGGAAUUCCGAGUGUAGAGGUGAAAUUCGUAGAUAUUCGGAGGAACACCAGUGGCGAAGGCGGCUCACUGGCCCGAUACUGACGCUGAGGCGCGAAAGCGUGGGGAGCAAACGGG
rnacentral:rRNA from 1 species